GAAGGGAAUGAACUAAGUGACUAUGGCAAAGAAAUAAGGACGGAAAUUAACUAAGGAAGGGAAGGAAUUGAGUGACUCUCGCAGAGAAAUAAGGAAGAAAAUUAACCAAGGAAAGGAAGGAAUUGAGGGACUGAAGGAAAUCUUCAUCAUCUUCUAAAUCAAAGGAAGGAAGGAGGAACAAUGAAAUCUCUAACAAAAAAAGGAAGGAAAGCCUCUCAUUGAGAGAUGUUCAAUUCUGACUUUGAGAGAAAACACCGUUCAAAUCUGGCAGAGAAAAUAAAGGAUUCAGUAAUAAAACACAGCGUAUCUCUCUAAUUUGUUCCAUAUAAUCAACAAAACAAACUUUUUUUCUCCUAUGUAACAACAGAUUACCACCAAGAUAUCUUCCCGGCUACAUCCUUUCUCCUGCCCAUCUACUACACUGUCGAUGUUGCCCCCUAGAUCACAUGAGAAUAGAUCAGGAUUGAUAGAAAAGUGCUCUCUCUGUGGAUCAGCAUGCAUCCACUGUGUUCUUGAGCAUGGAAGCAGCUCCUGGCACUUCAUCAUGCAUAGGUACGUUUUUGCGCCUUGAAUCUACAAAUUUUAGGCCCUCUUAUCAUACAGAGGAGAUAAGAUUAAAACAAACAAAGAGUUUAAUCUAUGACAUGCAAAUUACAGAAAUAGCUCUGGGAGUGAUGACCGUGGGCGUGCAAAUUAAUCCUUCAGAAUUACAUUAUAAUUCUCGGAGUGAUGAUCGCGGGCGUGCCACACAAGUGGCCAUGCGCAUUAGCAAAAUCAGUUUCAAACAUGCCUCAUGUAAACAUAUAGCAAUGAGCGGCCUCAUGUUUCGAACAUGCCGUAUGUAUAUGCAUGUGCUUUAGUGCUUCAUUAUAGUACACGAUUUCUUCAGGUUUUGUACAGUAGUUCCAAGGGGAGACAAUAAUCAAUUAUAGUUAAGGCGAUUUUCCACAAGGUACAUUUUUCCAAGAAAAAGUUGCAUUUUUAUUUUACUGAUUAUCUAAGAUUUAUAUAUUCUUAGCUAUAUUCCAAGUUACGUGUUUUGUUUUGUCAUCUCAGCAUUUUUUACCUUUUUUUUGUCGUCUCAGCAUUUUAUACUAAGGGCUGACACCGAGGUGAAGCCUCUGAAUUUGUUUUAACAGUUUGUAUGUAUUAUAUAAGAAGCAUUACAAUGAUAUAAUAGUAUUCUAUGUAAAAUGCAGUUGUAUUACCAUCCAUGCUUGUCGUCUAAUAAAUGAGUGAUUGUAAAGGUACAGCUGGUUUGAUACUCAUUGUUCAUUGUUCUAAGGUAUGUCUCAGUUUUAGAAUGGUAGCCUGUAGAAAAUAUAAUUGUGUAUUCAGUUUCAAAGUAUAGUUUUGCAUGAUUUUCAUAAUUUCUAUGAAUUCAAACUGUUAACUGGUAGUUUUAUACAAAUUAGUUGCUGGUUAUUCCUCCAUGAUUUAGUUUUCCAGUUCAAUGUAGUCUUGCGCUCGCGGGAUUGAAAACUAAGAAUGGAAAAGUGAAGCUGCACGUCAAACUACACUACGUGCAUAUGUGCAUACACUCUACCCCUCCUCUAUUUCUACCACUUUGAGUUGCAGAAAAGGGAAAUUACACGCAGAUGAAAUAGCGUAUGGGGUAGCACUAGAAAUAGCAUAUGGGGGUAGCACUAACCUCUGCCUCUGAGCUUGCAUCGAGUUCCAAACUUGAAAUGAAUCUACAUGAGCCCCUGUUGUAUCUCAAGGUACUCGUUGACCGCCCCCGCGCGCGAUGUUGUUGGCAGGGAACAACAGCAUGGAGCAGCUGCCACAACUUAGGCACGCCGGACGCAAACGGUGCUACACAGCAUAGCUCUCGCCCUGCCGCCGGCGACGGCGACGGCCUCGGACGGCAGACCGCAUCUCACCUUGUGUGAAUUGUCUCUGAGCUUGAACUGAGGAGAACAUAGGCAAGGGAGCAGCUGCCACAGUUUAGUCCCGGGAUUGGCCGCGCCGGAUGCGGGCCUUGCUACCGCAACACGUCCC
rnacentral:lncRNA from 1 species